UACAGGGGGGGGCAAGCGUUGUUCGGAAUUACUGGGCGUAAAGGGCCAGUAGGCGGCCAACUAAGUCACACGUGAAAUCCCCAGGCUUAACCUGGGAACUGCGUGUGAUACUGGAUGGCUUGAAUUCGGGAGAGGGAUGCAGAAUUCCAGGUGUAGCGGUGAAAUGCGUAGAUAUCUGGAGGAAUACCGGUGGCGAAGGCGGCAUCCUGGACCGACAUUGACGCUGAACGGCGAAAGCUAGGGGAGCGAAA
rnacentral:rRNA from 1 species